CUUUACAGUAGCUACACGAGUGGCUUCUUGGUCAUCACUUUGUUCCUACAGUUCAUCUCCUCACAUCUCCCAGCAUGGCCUUGUAAGAAUAUAAAUCAGGUCCUAUGUCUGCCUUGCUUGGACCCUUCCAGUGGCUUCCCGUUACACUGAAACUACUGUCCAAGCCAUUCCCAUGGCUUACAGCACCCUGAGAGCUGGCCACCCCAGUGCCCGUUAAACUUCAGCCAAGCUUCUUCACUUUGCUUUAUUCCAGUUUGCCGAGAAACUGCUACCUUAGAAUCAUCCACUGUCUCCAGAUCUUCCCUGGAAGGUGUGUGCCCUCUGGCCACCUUGGACGUCUGUGACAUGGUCUUUGGGAGCUACCACCUUCCUCUUGCUCCUGCCGGAGCCUGCUGUGCCUCAGCUCAUGAUCCUUCCGUCUGAGCACUGCUGCCCCCGUCAAGAAUCCGAGUAUUCCGGGAAAGCCGUCACCAAACUGCCUCCAGACCACGGUGGAGUGGAGAAAAGACUUCUUGAAAAUGAACAGCCAAAUGGACUCAGCCCACAAACACCUAGCUGAGAUUGUCUCUGUGAAGAAUGACAUGCCUUCAGCAUGAAGAAGGUACAAGAAAAAGACAUGUAAUUAAGCGGGGAGAAAUCAGAAACUGGAGCCAUUAAAGAGACUGUGAUAUGAGGAAAACACUGCACAGGAGAUGUGACUGAAGAUC